CCUACCUGGGCAGACCUCUGGAGGCCCUGGAAUGCCAACUUCCAUUUUGGAAAGGUGUUGAGUCUUUACUCAGCCCAUGGGAAGAACUCAGCUCUUGGACUGAACUCCUCCUACAGAACAUGUCAAAAGGAGGUCAAAUGAAUCACAUCCCACAAGUGCCUGCUUCUGCUCCUCGCCUGACAGGAGUUCUCCAGGAUUCCUGUUUCUAUUUGCUGGAUACAUUUAGGGCUUUCCCGCCACUUCCACUCAAGAGUUAAACCUUAGUAACACAGUUCACCGCUCCAGCUUUGGCAUGCAGUUGCCAUGUAGCACUCCAGACAAAAUCCGUCCUCCUCAAAACUGCUUUUGAUCCUGAACAUUUUGCUUCAACAACUGAUCAACGAACUGCACAGCUAAGAAAAACGCACCAAACACCUUCCCCUGGGGCAAAGUGGGCCCUGUUACAGCCUGUUCAGCUGUGAAUCCUGGAGAUGGUGAUUUAAGCUUAAAGCACUUGGUGAUGGUUUUAGUGGUUUGACAAAUCUCUCCCAGCAGGAAGGAAACUUUCCAUGUCUGGCUGUAGAGUGUUUCACAAAGCUGAAAGAAAAUAGCACUUAUCUAAAUUUAACUUGCCAUACUUUUAAACUGGUCUGUGUGAGGAAACGUCUUUUGCUUUCA